GGAGAGAUGCGAGAGCGGUUGAAUCGAACGGUUUCGAAAACCGUCGAACUCGUAAGGGUUCCGAGGGUUCGAAUCCCUCUCUCUCCG
rnacentral:tRNA from 1 species